UACGUAGGGUGCGAGCGUUAAUCGGAAUUACUGGGCGUAAAGCGCACGUAGGUGGCGACGUAAGUCGGGUGUGAAAGCCCCGGGCUCAACCUGGGAAUUGCAUUCGAGACUGCAUUGCUGGAGUACGGAAGAGGAAGGCGGAAUUCCCGGUGUAGCGGUGAAAUGCGUAGAUAUCGGGAGGAACAUCAGUGGCGAAGGCGGCCUUCUGGUCCAGUACUGACACUCAAGUGCGAAAGCGUGGGGAUCAAACAGG
rnacentral:rRNA from 1 species